CAAAAGCCACAAAGAACAUAAUCGCGUUUAGGAAGUGUUGAUAAGAUAUUGCAUUAGCAGAGGUUAAAAAAGGCAGGUACAACUGGGAUUGGGGCAGGAAUAUUGGCUGGAA